UGAUCAUGACUCGCAGAUGACCCCUAUUGAUUUUUAGGUCACAAGGUCAAAGGUCAAGGUCACGGUGACCCGAAAUAGUAAAAUGAUUUUCGGAUGAUAACUCAAGAACGCUUUGGCCUAGGAUCAUGACACUUCAUAGGUACAUUGAUCGUGACUCGCAGAUGACCCCUAUUGAUUUUCAGGUCGCUAGGUCAAAGGUCAAGGUCACAGUGACAAAAAACGUA